GUCCCUAUGCAUAACCCCCAUAAAAUGACAAGCGUGAACCACAUUAACAAUUUGCCUCAUAAUCGCGGCCGCUUCAACCUCUGAGUAGCUCCCUUUGGCUGUAAUCCGAUCGAAGAGCUCCCCACCAGAGCAUAACUCCAUCACCAAAUGCACAUUUUGCCUAUCCUCAUAAGCACCCUUAAAUUCCACAAUAUUGGGUUGCCCAGUUAGGUGCUGUAAUAUCAAAAUCUCUCGCCUAACAUUUUCAACGUCCUCAUUAUUUACCAGCUUUCGCCUGGAGAUAGACUUGCA
rnacentral:misc_RNA from 1 species